rnacentral:tRNA from 1 species
AGCCUUGUGGUGUAUAACACAUUGGAUUGCAAGUCCAAAGCCGCAGGUUAGUUCCUGCCGGGGCUU